rnacentral:rRNA from 1 species
AGAGUUUGAUCCUGGCUCAGAACGAACGCUGGCGGCAGGCUUAACACAUGCAAGUCGAACGCUCACUUCGGUGAGAGUGGCAGACGGGUGAGUAACGCGUGGGAAUAUACCUAUCAGUACGGAACAACAGUUGGAAACGACUGCUAAUACCGUAUACGCCCUUCGGGGGAAAGAUUCAUCGCUGAUAGAUUAGCCCGCGUUAGAUUAGCUAGUUGGUGGGGUAAAGGCCUACCAAGGCGACGAUCUAUAGCUGGUCUGAGAGGAUGAUCAGCCACACUGGGACUGAGACACGGCCCAGACUCCUACGGGAGGCAGCAGUGGGGAAUAUUGGACAAUGGGCGCAAGCCUGAUCCAGCCAUGCCGCGUGUGUGAUGAAGGCCUUAGGGUUGUAAAGCACUUUCAACGGUGAAGAUAAUGACGGUAACCGUAGAAGAAGCCCCGGCUAACUUCGUGCCAGCAGCCGCGGUAAU